GCCGAAAUAGCUCAGUUGGGAGAGCGUUAGACUAUAAAUCAAAAUGUCCCUGGUUCGAUCCUGGUUUCGUCA
rnacentral:tRNA from 1 species